AAUUGGUGCUGGAUAACUAAACAUGGUAUGUGAGAAGCCUCCUCAGAUAAGGCAGUGCUGAGUGCUGGAGAACACAGCAGGAGGCUGCACUGAGUUCAUCUGAUCUGAGGCUGUGGAGAUCACAUCCAACAGCAGCAGUGCCUGGAGAGGACUCUGCUUACAGCCCUCUCCAGCUGCUUCUUAUUUUCUCUCUCAAGUUGAGCAGCUGAGCUGUUGGCAGAACUGCCAACCAGCACAGGUCCUGCUCCUCAGCCUGUUGCUGAAGUUGUUCAAGCCAGCAUGCAGGAGGCUGCAGGGCUCAUCUGAGCAGCUUGGCUAGUGACUCUGAAAAUGAGGCAACAAGCAGCUGGGGAUGGCAACCCAUGCUCUGUACAGCUGCUGUGACAGAAGCAUGGAGCAGGAAGAAUGUGAGAGCAGGGCUACUAAGGAUCAAGGAAAGUAACAAACAGAAGGACUUUUCCCCUCUUCAUUUCAGCUUCUGGGAAAGGAAGUAACUAGAGAAACAGUGAAAUCUUAAGUUGGACUCUGACAGGCCAGCAUUCUAAUGCACUAAAAUCUACUCUAAAGAGUUAAACUGGAAGUGAAAUGUCUAAAGCACCUUCAGAAGACCCACCUGUGUUAAAGGCUGGUAGGUAUUUCUUGGUGUCCAGUUUCCAGAUGGGUUGGUCUAUUUCACCACACAGCAGUACCUUAACAGGGACAAUGGCUGUUCCUCUGCCUUCUCUCUCUGCAAAACUUCCUUCAAGAGCAGUUGAGAGUGUUGCAGAACUCCCUUAAUCAGAGUUAGCAACACUUGAAUCAAAACUGGGUCCCCCUUAGUGAGGGCUUCUGUAAGAAUUUUCCCAUACACAAAUUUUUUAUUUAAACUCGUGUAAAUAGCCAGCUUUUCCAUUGCCUCCUAAAAUAUGAUUUCCUUUGACCUUCUAAACCAAAGUGACUUGACAUUAACUCUCUGCUUCCUCAGCAGGCUGUCCCUGAUCUGUAGUUUCUGACACUUAAAACCUCAGAUGAAUUCUUGAUUCCAAGAUGUGUAGCCUUCCUUCUCAAAAGGCUUAAAUUAGGUCAUGUGAAGAGGAGGAAAGAGGCAUGCAGGCAAUCUGCUUUCACUGGAGAGUAAAGUGUAUGAUCUUCCCUGCUUUCUUGAUAAAUAAGAAAAGAUGGAUAUAAUUAGCUGUCCCAAGGACCAAAUAAGCUUCUGCCUUGCUACAGAGCAGCUGAAGGUUAUGUACAUACAGACCAACCCAUAUAAAUAGUCCUCUGUAGAAUUACUAAGUAUAAUGCUCUACACUCUCAGUCUCUAAUGGAAGACUACUGCUCCUAGUUAGUUACAAUCCUUUCAAUACAGGAUAAAUUUAAUAAUAUUAUUUUGUGCACUGCUAUCCCAAAUGCUGACUGAAAAUAAAAAAAAAUAUAUUUUCCUUCUUCCUUUUACCUAAGCCUGCCAUUCUUGCAGAAGAAUGUUGCCUGAAAUUCUAGUCAUGAACAUAAUCAACUCAAAGGCUCACUCAUGACUGAACUAAUCUGAUAGUGUUUCCCUUAAGUCUCUUCUCUACAUAACAUUUCUGUCACAAUGAGAACUCUGUUCAGGAGAAAUAUGACAAUGGAAUCUCAAGUUCAUAAUCACAACUGAAAAUCCUGGCUGUCAGCUAGCAUUUAGUGAUGUGCAGUUGAGAUCUGGUUCCUAAGAGAACCUUGGAUGCUGUCAGGUGUCUUCUGGACAGAGCUCCCAACAGUCCUACAGUGUCUGCUUGGGCAUGGGCCCAAUGGCUCUGGAGACCUCCCAGUAAUGCCCAAUGUGCCUCAUGACUCAGUCAUAAGAAACAUGACUCUGUGUUUAGCAUGCCAGAACUAGAGAUCAUUGCAUAGAGCAGAACUUCUGUCACUGCUGGGAAUAAUUCUGGUAUGGUAAAGGUACCUUGACUACCAUUCAACUACCAACUACAACCUGCCUAAAGCUUCUGUGUGAAACUCUGGUCUCUGAAAUAAAGAUCUCUCAAUGCUGCCAGGGUGGGAACUUGCUCCAGUCAGACUAACUGGGAAUGUGGACAACUCUUGCUUGUAGAGUAUUUUAAGUUCUGUAGAAAGUAAGAGGGUUCAACAAACCAGAAAUAUGGAUGAGGGAGAAUAAAUUCAUGUUUUCUAGGGUGUUUUAAAAUUGUGUUAGAGCAAGCUACAUGCAAGUUCUGCUUUGGGUCUCUACAGAGUACAUGUCCCAGCUUCUGGGAAGUCCUGUUCCAUCUUUUGGCUGGCCAGUGUCUCCUUUUAACCCAUGAAACUGAUGGUUUGUCUUUCCAUUCCAUUCCAUUCCAUUCCAUUCCAUUCCAUUCCAUUCCAUUCCAUUCCAUUCCAUUUCAAGGAGUGUAACAGAGUGAGAUUUGAGGAAGUGCACAGAGGAAACCUCAAAACAAAGGGGAAUCUUUAAGCUAAUUAAAGCUGCUCCCUUGUUAGUUUUGUAAAUAAGCAUUUCAAAUGAAUAACCUGCCAAACACCUGCUGCCUAACAAUGAAACUGGAAACUUAUUUCAAUGUUACUUCCAAUUACAUUGCUCAACUUUGGAAUGCUGCAUCAAACUAGUUCAAAAUUCCAGUGACUGUUUUAGGAAUUGAUGGACAAGACUGUCAUUAACUUCAGCUCCUGUGUGUACAGCAGACCAGGAUGAAGUUGGAGGUUUCCUG